rnacentral:rRNA from 1 species
UACGUAGGGGGCGAGCGUUGUCCGGAUUGAUUGGGCGUAAAGAGCUCGUAGGCGGUUUGGUAAGUCGAAUGUGAAAUCUCCACGCUCAACGUGGAGGGGUCAUUCGAAACUGCCGUGACUUGAGUACGGUAGGGGAGUGUGGAAUUCCCGGUGUAGCGGUGAAAUGCGCAGAGAUCGGGAGGAACACCCGUAGCGAAGGCGGCACUCUGGGCCGAUACUGACGCUGAGGAGCGAAAGCGUGGGGAGCAAACAGG